rnacentral:rRNA from 1 species
GGCUCAGGAUGAACGCUGGCGGCGUGCCUAAUACAUGCAAGUCGAACGGAGAAUGUAGCAAUACGUUCUUAGUGGCGAACGGGUGAGUAACGCGUUGGUGACCUGCCCCAAAGUGUGGGAUACCAGUUCGAAAGGACUGCUAAUACCUCAUGUGGUCACUGGGAUUAGAUGCCCGGUGAUUAAAGGAGAAAUUCGCUUUGGGAGGGACCUGCGUCCCAUCAGCUAGUUGGUAGGGUAACGGCCUACCAAGGCUUUGACGGGUAGGGGACCUGAGAGGGUGGCCCCCCACAAUGGAACUGAAACACGGUCCAUACACCUACGGGUGGCAGCAGUAGGGAAUAUUGCAUAAUGGGCGAAAGCCUGAUGCAGCAACGCCGCGUGCAUGAUGAAGGCCUUCGGGUUGUAAAAUGCUUUUAGCAGGGAUGAGGAAGGACAGUACCUGCUGAAUAAGCCUCGGCUAACUACGUGCCAGCAGCCGCGGUAAAACGUAGGAGGCGAGCGUUAUCCGGAUUUACUGGGCGUAAAGCGCGUGCAGGUGGUUCGGUAAGUUGGAUGUGAAAGCUCCUGGCUUAACUGGGAGAGGUCGUUCAAUACUGCUGGACUUGAGUGUGGGAGAGGGAGGUGGAAUUCCGGGUGUAGUGGUGAAAUGCGUAGAUAUCCGGAGGAACACCAGUGGCGAAAGCGGCCUCCUGGCCCAUAACUGACACUCAUACGCGAAAGCUAGGGGAGCGAACGGGAUUAGAGACCCCGGUAGUCCUAGCUGUAAACGAUGUGGACUUGGCGUCGGUGGGUUAAAAGCCAUCGGUGCCGAAGCUAACGCGAUAAGUCACCGCCCUGGGGACUACGGCCGCAAGGUUAA